rnacentral:sRNA from 1 species
GCCAGGUGUGGUGUCCAUACCUAUAAUCCCAGUGACUUGGGAGGCCAAGGCAGGAGGAUGGCAAGUUCAAGGCGAGCCUGGACAAAUAGUGAGACCCUGUCCCU